ensembl:ncRNA lncRNA:flam flamenco
AAAAUUGUAUUAUUUUCAAUAUAAGUCUAUUGACCGUUACAAUUGUAAUAAAGUCCAGGUUAUAAGUAUAUUUAUUUGGUUUAAUGUAUUGAAUAUAGGAGUAUUUACGAUAUUUUUGAAAAGUACAAGUUGGGGUUUCGUGUUUUGCUAUCUAUGCAAUGGUCUUUGGCAAUUUUCUUUGUUAGUGUAUUAAGAGCAUAGUUGUAAUGUGAGUAGAAUUUUCCUUUAAUAUUUUACUUAAUAAUUUGGCAAUUAUUGUCGGGGUAAGGUUCAAUUAUGUAAGUUCAAUUGUAUUCAUAGAAAUGUGGGACAUUAGGAAUAUUUCAUUAGUAGCUACGUUAUACCAAGCGGAAGUUUUUAUAUUUAUCAGAUUUUUGUAACUAACGUUGCCAAUAUUGUCGUGUUUUAGUAGUUUGGGAUUAAUGAUUCCUAGUCGUGUAAGUUGUGAACCCAUUUCAAUGUCCUCAAUAUAUUCGGUAAAAUGUUCAAUGUGAAAUAUUAAUAGAUUAAUUUUUGUUCUUUUUUUUCAGAGCAUUGGACUGGGUGUUAAUUAUUUCUAUGCCGGUUUGCUGCAAGUAUUUGUUGUCAUUGAUCAAUUAGCUUCCUAGCUUUCAAGCGAACGGUCGUGUUUUUUUUUUGCGCUCCGAUUCCUAUUUUGUGUUUGUCAAACCAGCCAAGGUAUUUAAUAAUUUAAAUUUAAAUUUUUUAAUUUAAUAAUUUUCUUUCAUUAUUAUACAUACAUGUACAUAUGUACAUAUAUGGUCAACAUAAUUAUUAAAGGUGAUUCGCAGUGCUGUUUGGAGUUGUUUUUGUAUGUACAUAAACUGCACUGUGCACCUAUUCUCUCGCUCCCACUCUUUCGCUCUCCCACACAAAAUCUAAAAUUUCUGACUGCUCUCUUGCGGUUCUUUUAACAGCUCGCUUAAAUGUUUUGAUCUUGUGUGUUUUGCACAGUGGUCUGAUUUUAGACAAACAUGGAAACAAUAAAUGUUGUCUGCUUGUAUAAAAUUUUCUUCAUUUGUGUUUCUUUAUUUUCUCUAUUGUUCUUAGUAUUGAUAGUUCAUUUACGGUUUUGUGAAGGCGUUCUAUGUCUGCUAUUGCUGUUUUACUUGUGGUAAUAUCUAUUUGUAUGUCUUGGUUGUUAAGCCAAAUUUUUAAAUAAGUGCUUAAAAACCGCUUUAAUUUUCUGUGGUUAUCCAUGUCAUUGAAAAUUCUAGUAAGGGCUCGUUUUGCCUCUAACCAAUCUGUUAGUUUUAAUACUGUUUGUUUUAAUAAGUAAAGCAAAUUUAGAAUAUAUGUAUGUCUAUACAAGAUUAAUACUGUUCGUUGUCAAUUGCACAAAAGUCAAUGACGUCAAUUUCUCGUGGGUUAUUUGUUUCUGGAGUUAUUUCGAAAACUAGAUUUGUUGGUCUAUGUUCUGUCUUUGCAAGGUUACAGAUUUCGCAAUAAUUAAUAAUGUUUGAAUUAGUUUAUUGUAAUCGGGAAAAUAAAGAAUUUCUUUAAAUAAUCUUAUCAUUUUUUCAAUACCAUGGUUUAACAAUUAGAAUUUUUAGUCAUUAUGGUUUUUUUAAAUUCAGGAUAAUUUUUUAUGUUUUUUAACUUUAUGAUACUUUUUAGAAUUUUCACGUUACUAUGUGGGUUAAUGGUUUCUCUAAAAAGUCUUUAUCGUUUUCCAGGUAAAUAGCACUGUUAUUAUUUAAGAAGUGAUAUCCGAGGAUAUCUGUUGCCUUUGACAGGGUCAUGUCAGUGUAUUUAAUGGUCAGUUUUGUUUUUGAAAAGUAUUUCGUUGUCUCUACUUGCUCUACGGUAUCUUUAAUAAGUUCAAUUGGUCUUGCAAAAUAGUUUAUUGGUUUUUCUGUAAUUUCAAUGUAGGUUUCGUUGCUUUCUGUGUUUCGAUGAACUGUGUAUUGUUGCUGCUGUUGCAAUAUUCUCUUCUUUGACGCGAGAUAAAGCGUCUGCUACAUGAUAUAGUUUACCUUCUAAAUAUUUGAUUUUCAAAUUAUAUUCACUAAGUCUAAUUCGCCAACGUUGUUGUUUCAUGUUAGGUUCUUUAAUAUUAUUUAGCCAAACGAGGGGUUUGUGAUCGAUCAAAAUCUGAAAGGCGGCACCCUUUAGAUAUGUAGGGAAAUAUUUGGUUUCCCAAACGAUUGCCAGUAGUUUUUUUUUGAAGAACUUUUCUUUGGCGAAAUUGCUAGCGUCAGUAGUGACUCGAAAUGGUUGGUUUGAAAUUAGGGCAACUCAAAAUUGGGUCCUUCAUUAUGAGUGUUUUCAAUUUUUCAAAUGAUUUAUUGUAUCGUUCUUUUCUUGUGUUUAUUUUAGCUCCUUUUUUGUCAGCGGUUUUGCAAUCUUUGCAAAAUCUGGAAUGAACUUACGGUAAUAUCCGCAUAAGUAUAAAAAAUAUUUGAUUUCUGUUGAUGUCUUUGGGAGAGGAAAUUUUUCGAUUGCUUUAACUUUCUCUUUAUUAGGUCGUAUGCCUUCUGGACCUAUAAUAUGACCUAAGAAAUUUGUUUGCUUUUUUAAAAAUUCGAAUUCACACUAGCUGAGUAACGGGUAUCUGAAAGUCGAUGAACUCGACUAUAGCAUUCUCCGUUUUGUUUCAUUUUUAUUUUAUAUAUUUUGCAUGUUUAAUUUGUAAAAAUGAACAAAUAUGUGUUUUUCAGAUUUCAGAUUACCAUUUGGCUAUGAGGAUCAGACAGUUUUAGUUAACUACUCCUAAAAAAAUAUCAGAGGACAAUUAUCUGAGGAAUGAAUCGCUUUGAAGUAGUACACUUUGAAACUACAUUUAUUCAUUUUGUGUAGCUUGUCUGUGGGCUAAAAUAUAUUUCGGCUAAAAAGUAGGCAAUACUACUUUUAUCAGUUGACCCAAGACUUUGGUAUUUCACCAUUUGUUUUUUUUUCUUUUUUUAAAUAAUUUAUUAAACGAAAUUAUUUAACGGACUAGCGUACUAUUGCCCUUUUUAGACAACCUAAUCUAAUCGGUAUCAAUUUAAACGAUUCUUAAUAUCUAAGUUUUUUACAAAGAUUAUAUGAAUUUGAGUAUUAAAGAAAUUGAAUGUUUAGGCAAUAAUAUUUAGAAGAUUAUUAUUAAGUAGUAUUUAUGACAAGUCCCGGGGGGUAUUUAUAUGGUUUUUUAAUAGAUAGGGUCUUCGUAUUUUGUAUGAAUAGAAUAUUUAAUAGUACUUGUGGAAGUAAAAUUUUCACCAUCUUUGUACUGAAUAUCACUGUAUUCAAGGAAAACGUGGGAAAGUUGUUUCCCUUUUUGCUGUAUUUAGAAGUUCUAAUCUGAAUACGUUAAAUUCUCUGAACUCGCCGUCUAAGGCGUAGUUAGAGGAUGUUACUAGAAGGAUGUCUUUUAAGUAAGGGGUAAUAAGAGGGUUUUCCUCAGAUUUAGAAGUCUUGGGACACUCAUAGGUAGUCUUGAACUCUUCUGGGUUAGACGACCUGGGGCACUCAUUGGAGACCUUUGAAUCAUCUGGUUUUAAGUGGGGCUUCCGCUUAAUUUUCUGGAGGGUUUCCUCCUUUUUCUGUGUAUGUAGAGGGGUUUCCUCUGAAUUAGAUAAUCCGGGGCACUCAUUGGUGGCCUUGGACUCAUCUGUUUGGAUGGUCGUACCACCUUUUGAAUGUAUAGCUAUUUAUAGUAACAGUGUGUGUUGAAUAACUUUAGUCAUGCUGGAAGCUUGCCAGAGUUGGUAGGGUCCUAGAUAUCAUUGUGAUUUUUUAGACUCUCGAAUGCAUCUCUCUGCAAGUCACCGAACUUAAUAGGAGUCUUCUUAGACAUGUGCUUGCUGAUAGAGCCAUUUUCUUCUAUUAGAAAGCUUGUCAAACGAAACAACGGUAAUAACUGGCUAAACCCAAAAAUGAUCUUAGCUCAUACAGAUUUGUAGGCUCUGGGUAUUCCUUUUAUGGCCUUUACUUUUUCUGUGUCGGUUUUUGCACCUCCAUUGGUGACAAUAAAUCCGAGAUAUUCAACGCUUUGCUUAAAAAAGUGCAUCUUCUCGUUGAAUACCUUCAUGUUGGCAUCACACAGGCUUUUUAAAACGCAAUCUAUGUGCGUAACAUGGUCGUUUUCAUUUUCAGUAUAUAGGUAUAUCUGGUGGUAGCCGGACUUUAAAUCUAACGUUGUAACGUUCUUGGCUUUUCCUAAGUUUGCCAGUAUUAUGGGAAUAUUCGUCAUUGGGUACUUUUCAGCGAUGUUUUUUGCGUUAAGUUUCCUAAAGUCUAUAAUCAAACGAAUAUUUUUGUUCCCCUGCUCAUCAUGGUCUUUUUUGUCCACAACCCAUGUUGGAUCACUUUUAAACAAUUUUAAAUUUUAUUCGCCAGUAUUUAUCGAUAUUCCAGAAAAAUGAUGAAAUUUCGAGAUCGCAUUCACACUAGCUGAGUAACGGAUAUCUGAUAGUCGGGGAACUCGACUAUCGCAUUCUCUCUUGUUUUCCAUAGAUGUCCCUAUCUGCAAUUGGAUUCUCCUUUCUCAGGAUGCACUUAAGUUUUUUUUGUUCCAUUUUAAAAAAGGAUAGGUCUGCAGUUAACGACUGAGGAUUUCCUAGCCAUUUGAUGAAAUUAAUGUUCCUUUUUAAAAUAUCUGAAUUUAUUUUUAUUAAAUUGCAUUCCUUUGAGCAAUUACUCUAUAUUUGUGUACAUGAUAUAUAUAUAUAUCCUUUUCCCAUUUAAUUUUACCUACCUUUUAAUAAAUACUUUAAUAAGUCAUAAUAUGUGCGUAAGCAUACUAACCAGAUAAAAAACAAAAAAAAGUCCGCAGUAUACAUAACUGUUUAUCAAUUCAAGAAAGCAAAAAAGAUUAUUUCGAAUAAAUAUGGUUGGCAUUUUAUAUUCGAAAAACUUUAACGCAAGCCCCAAGUUUUAAUGGAGCUUUUCGACAAAUACAAGAAUUUGAGAUUUGCAAUUGCAAUCUAGGGAAAAAUGAUUAUUUCGAAAAAAUAUGGGUCUUUAUAUUCGAACAACUUUAACCCAAGCCCCAAAUUUUAAUGAAGCUUAUCGACAAAUACAAUAAUUUGAGAUUUGCGAUUGCAAUCUAGGGAAAAAAGAUUAUUUCGAAAAAAUAUGGUUGGCUCUUAAUAUUCGAAAAACUGUAACCCAAGCCCAAAGUUUUAAUGGAGCUUAUCGACAAAUACAAGAAUUUGAGAUUUGCGAUUGCAAUCUAGGGAAAAAAGAUUAUUUCGAAAAAAUAUGGUUGGCUCUUAAUAUUCGAAAAACUUUAACGCAAGCCCCAAGUUUUAAUGGAGCGUUUUGUUCCUUCGAAAACGCAGUCUAAAGUUCGCUUAGCGACGAAUACAAGAAUUUGAGAUUUGCGAUUGCAAUCUAGGGAAAAUGUUACCCGUUAAACUAACAAAUGAAAAAGAAAUUAUAAUACAGUGUUAACGCUAAGCUUGCGGUGCGUAUCCAUAUUUGCGAAGUAUGUUAUUAUUUGUGGCACAUUAGAGUAUUUAUUGAAACGUAAGGUAGCAAUGCUAACUAUUAGCUAUGCUUUAUUAAUUUUUAACUUAACUUUUUUUGUAACUUGUUAAAGGAAUACAAUUUCUUGUGGUAAAAAUUGGUAAUAAAUUGGCCCGAGUUCUCUCGGAUAGAACUCUUCCCUAUUUUUAGUUAAUUAAUCAUUUCCCUACAAGCUGUAUGACCAAACCAUUACAGGAAAAUCCCAUUUUCCUCUCAGCAGAAUCCAUUUGUUAAAUGAACAAUAGUUUGUACCUAGCCUACAGGUUCAACCUUAAAAUCAAAAUAAUAAAUAAACUAAAUUUAUUUGCUGUAUUGAUCAAAGUAUACUUUUUUUUUUGUAUUUUUGCAUUCAAACUAAAAAUCGGGAUUCGUGACAAUAAUAUUCAUUCGUUAAUAUUUCAAAGCUCUGUUUAAGCUUAUUGAAAGUCCUGCCCAGUCCAGUCAAGCGGGUAUGGCCAAAGAAAUGCUGUUGAUUUUAGUUUCCCGCGAAUAUAUAAAUAUGCACGCUCAGGAAGGGAUUUCAGAGGCUCAGUUUUUAAAGAGAAAUUAAUGAUAAACAAAAAAUUAACUUACUUUUGAAGUAUAUGCCUUUGGUACACGAGAAAAAUUUUUCAAGAGCAUGGCAAAAAGUUUGAUGGGAGUGGGAUGGAUAGACGACAUGUUUUUAACAAAAAAAUUGUAUCCAUUAUGUAUUUUAACAGAAAUGGGAAUUAUAAACGUAUGCUCAGUCCAGUGAAGUCUGAAUAGAGUUAGGCAAACGGGUAGAUUGCGAAAACUAAAUACGAGUUGUGAGAACGCGCGCGACUUUGGUCCUGUGUCCAGGAAAUAGAUCCAGUUUGGUCCAGAGGGCAAGCUAGAAGGUUUUUGGACCAUAUAAAGUAAAUAUAUUCUUGAUCAGGAUCAAUAGACGAGUCGAUCUAGCAAUGUCCGUCUGUCCGUAUGAACGUCGAGAUCUCAGGAACUAUAAAAGCUAGAAGGUUAAGAUUCACCAUACAGAUUAUAGAGACAAACCACAAACCGCACAGAACUGCCACGCCCACAAUUUCGAUAGAUGUGUUGAUAUUUUUUCACAUAUUUAUUAGUCUUGUAAAUAUCUAUCGAUUUCCCAUGCCCACUUUAUGGUCGAGUUGCGUAUAUGUUGUAAUAAGUAAUAAGUAAUAGCUCAGUGUAAUAGAUAUUGAAUAGCUCAGAGCGUCUGUUCCGUUUGAAUCGUUUUAUUUGAAUGAAUUCCUAUGUUGCUGUCUUUGGGUACAGCUACCCGUACAUGGUGUUCUUACAUAUUGUACAUAUUGUAUAUACAUAUACAUGUGUAUGCAGAAGGCAUACAUCUGUUAUGUAUGGCUUGACCACUUGAGCUGCUAAGUGCAUGCUCAGCAUUCUCACGCUCCGCGAUCGGCUUAUGUAUAAGCAUUAGAUCGUAUUUCAUUGGCUGGAGUGUUUAUGUAAGUGCAUGUGGUCUUUGAUGUGAAUUAUGUUUAUUUUGUUAUAUACAAAUGCGAUGUCAUCUGCAUAGGUUGCCAUAAGAGCCUUCUUCGAAGCUUCCAUGUGUCCGAAACUCGGGCCAGCUCAUUGAAGAUAGGAGGAGGAGUAAUUAUUUCUCACCGUGAUUUUAAAUUCUCGUCCUUCCAGAUAUGACUUAAAAAUACAGAAGUAGGGCGCAGGGAGAAGGGUAUUUAUCUUGCAUAACAAUCCAACAUGCCAUACUUUGUCGAAGGUCUGUUGCAUAUCGAAACUAACCAGUUUCCUGGUAUGUUAAGUUUAUAAUAUUUUACGCCAAUUUCCGCAAGCCGGUGGCUUCACAAAACACGACGGAGUAACUUUUAAGAACUCUUUAUUGAGUAGAGCAAGUGCUGUUGCUUAUGAGGGUAGAAAAGAACUGAAUACAAGUUAAAGUAAACGUUUGUUUAUUUUCACGAGAAGAUAUUUAGGACCGGCCAACUCCGUUGCUGACUCUGCCAUCGUCGCUCCCACGGAAGCGCUCAAGACGCGGAUCUUGCGUGUAAGCCUUCGCAGAUUGUUGUUGCGAAUUCUUUUGAUGUUAACUCAUAUAGACGUUUGAACUGUUAUGGAAAUGCAGAUUAUUUUUAUGUAAUCGCACAAAUUUUUUAAAUAUUUAAAGCUCUAUGUAAAUGCAGUUUGGAGUUUGGAACAGAAGCUCACUUACAUAGUUUGUGUGUAGUAUUGUGGAUUAGUAAUCCGUUAGUUGGGCGCCAAUUAUGAAGAGUAAGCGCCGCAGGGGGUCUCUCGCUGCAGUCACUGGAACCUGGCCGGUUGGUCGAUGGAUGUAUCUCUGGAGAUCGGAGGUGAUAAUUCCCAAUUGAUGAAUUAGGAUGGCUUCUGGCCUAGAGACUCAGAUAGCGUAAUUAAAAGGCAUGCAACUUAACGAACCGAAUGUUUGUUAAGGAAAAAAAUAAAAAACAAGAACACAAAAUGUUUUUAGUUUUUAAAUUCUUAUACAUUUUAUUUGCAGAAAGUUCUGCUUCCGAUUAGAAAUUGGUUGAAACUGAUUUUACAAAUUUAAGUUUGUCCUUAAGAAAGCUGUGUGAGGUAGCAGACAAUCGGGCAGUGCAGACGCAGCGGCAGCGGCGAUGCCUCCGGUGGAAGGGCCCGGCUUUUGGUGCGUUGGGGGUUUUGCAUUGGUUUUUUUAUAUUUUUUCUGGAAUCCACAGUGCUUCUAAAUUUAGUCUUUGCAGUUGAAUAUUCGCAGCUGAAUAUAUAUAUACUCAGUAGCGGAGACGUGGAAAUAUUAGUUGUUAAUAAAUGUGGUUGGCUCACAUAUUUGUUUACAAUAUAAAAAAAAAUUUGUCCAACCGCAUUGUUAGUAAAAAGCCUAACAGAUAUUAGUGUUUUUCAAGCAGCGGUUUCCCGCAUCGGCUUGGGUUUAGAAAUUAAAAUUAAGGCAAAUUGGGGCAUUGGCAUUUAUUUAUGCAGCCCGUUUGCGUUGUUUCGCACCUUGCGAAAUCUUGCUUUCGAUGUCCUCAAGACGCUCUUUGUAGCGUUGUCGGGAUGCCUCGUCUCUGGCCAACUGGGUCAUUUCCUUAACCAGUCGGCGUUGUUUAAGUAGCUUUACCCUUUUUCCGGAGCGUUUGUGCUUCUUUGGUUCCUUCCUUUCCUGCCUUGCCCGGUACUCAGCUAUUGUGAGUGGGCGUGGUCCAUCUGCAGGAUUUUGCUGCAGAGCUUCUUCCAACGUUGGCAAGUCCCUUUGUGUCGUGUGCUGUGCGUUUGAGAAUUGUGGCUCUUCCGCCAUCAAUUAUUAUGUUUUAUAAUGUCAUUUGAAUUUAUUAAUUUAUUUAAUUUAUAGUCGGACUAAGAUCAGUCGACUGUAAUUAUUAGCACAAUACUUUAAACACUUCGUGUGCGUCCUGCAAAAGUCCUGCAAUCGUCCUGUCACGGUCGCCAUAUGAAAGGUGCUAUUUUAAAGGGUGCUAUUUUGGUGUUUAAUGGAAAAAGAGCUUAGCUUCUGCUCUGUUCGAGGUUCUUUAUUUAAAUGAUCAAAGUGUGCUGAAGUUGGGUUCAGCUACCCGCACAUAUGUACAUUGCUUAUAUCUAUGUAUUCUUACUUACAUUUAUACAUAUACAUAUGUAUGCAGAAGGUAUUGACCACUUGAGCUGCAAAGUGCAUGCUCAGAUGCCAAUGAUAGAGACACGAGAAGGAUAAGAUUGGUCCUGUGGGUGAAAGUUUAAAUGGUUGAUUUUUCUAUUUUGUAGACAAGGGGAACCCAACACCAAUAAUAAUAAAAAUGCUUAAGAAUAUAAUGUGCGCGGAUGGCGCUACGCUUAGAUAUAUUAAAAAUUACGCCAAGUGGCUAGAAAAAAUUUAAAAUUAAGCGAAACACUGACCUCGCUGCUGAGCGCGUCAUUUUAAAUUGUCCUUGUGGACCACCCUCCCCUCAAUAAGGACCGUGGUCCCCAUGUCCGCUUCUACAGCUCUUUGUUCGCACAACGGCGUGAGCUUGUUGCCGAGUCUUCGGUUGGAUUUUACCAACACUUUCUCGCCAACAUCGAAUGUCCUAUUCUGCCGCGAGGCGUUUUCUCUGGCCCUCAGCGCGGUCUGAGCCUUCUGGAUCCUGUUGUGGAUCUCUAGCUGUGGCUAAUCGGAGUGUGUUAGGACGAUGUCAGCCGGUCUCCUGUCGAUGACCGAGUGAAUCGACUUAUUAUACUGGGUAGUGGCCAACAUUAUUAUUUCGACCGUAUCACUCAAGCCCUUGUCUAUCUUUAUGCAUCUGGCUAGCUCCAGCAACGUGCUAUGGAAACGUUCCACCUGCCCGUUGGAGGUGCUGUGCAGUGGUGGUGCGUUUGUAACGCUUACACCAAAGUUGUUACACAGCAUGGACACGAUCGUGUGCGACUUCAACGACGGUUCGUUGUCGCAAUAAAUGGUCUUUGCCCUUGGGAAAAAGUUCAUGAGCUGAAGCAGCGCUGGCUUCAGGUCUUAAAUAGUUCUCGAGGCGAUUGGUUGUACGACGGCAAAUUUAGAAAACUUGUCGACGCAAGUGAGGAAAAACUUUUUGUCGGUAGAGAAAAUGUCGAUGUGCAACAUUUCCCCUGUGUGUGACGGUAUUGGCGUUUCACCGAGUUCUUGUUUUCUCGGGUGCCUGUCAUACUUUGCCCUUGCACAAGUCCUGCAAUUCUGCACGAUCUCGUUGGCCAGCUUGGCUAAGGAAAGGAAAGGAAAGGAUUUUGGGGAAAUAGUAUUCCGACAAUACCUGCUUUACAUUUUCUUGUGCUGCUCUGUGCGCCCUAUUAUGUUCAGCAGUUAAGAUUUCCCUUCUUUCUUGGAUUCCGAGUACGUCCACGACACGGUUCCUGCAAUGCCAGAACUUUGUGGCUGGAAACCUCCGGACUAUCUCAUUUUGUAUCAUUGCGAGCGUGUGCAAUUCGCAAUGGAAGGCGUUUACGGCCCUUGGGACGAUUAUGUCUGCCAGUUCGUCUAAUAAAGACCCCCUGCAGACGAAGUUAACCGUGUGGCGCCUUUUAUUCCCGAAUAAAAUAAAGGUAUUUUUAGAUGGGAAACGUGCUUCUUCCAGUAUUAUCUGGUUCUGGAAGCAGUUCAAUAGCUUGUCCGUUGACUCGAUUGUGUGGGUGAGAGACACCUCACUGUGAAUCGUUGCUGCGCAAGAUUCGGUCUCUUCUUGUUCCAGCACAUUAAGCUGUUGUCUGGACAAGGCGUCCGCUACCAGGUUCUCUUUACCGGGCUUGUAAAAUAGACGAGCAUUGAACUCGUCUAUGCGGGCUUUCCACCUCUUAAUUUUUGCGUUCGGGUUUGAUUCCGACACAGAAAAUGUUAACGGCUGAUGGUCAGUGAAGAUAUUUAUAUCUUUCACUCCAUACAAGUAAUGCCGCAGUUUAGCCAGCGCCCAAACGAUGGCCAAUAACUCACGCUCGUUAGUCGCGUAGUUGGCUUCACUGUCUUUAAGAGUUCUUGAAAUCAUUGUUAUAGGGCGGCCCUCUUGAGACAACACCGCACCUAUACCAUAGGCUGAAGCAUCUGUCGUUAGAUCAAAUGGCUUCUUAUAGUCCGGGUAGCUGAGCAUGACAUCUUCUGAUGCCAAUAUAUUGCGCAGCUUUUGGAACGCCUCUGGCUGGCACUCAGAGAAAUGUGCUCGUUAAGCUUGCGAAAGUCUAUCACCAAGCGCUUCUUGCGGUUUCCCUCAUCAUCGGUGCCCUUUUUAUCUACUACCCAUAUGGGGUUGUUGUAGGGGGAUGCCGAUUUCUGAAUUAUAUCAUUUCUUAGAAGAUCUUAGAUCUCCUUAUUAACGAAGUCAGCUACGCCCAUGGGAUAUGGGUACAGCUUGGCAUAGAUGGGCUCUUCGCUCACCGUUCUGAUGGUGGCAACCACCGAAGUAUUGUAUGGUAGAGCCUCGUUUGGGUCUGCAAAGGCCUUUUUUCUGGCCUUUAAUAAUUUCCGAAAAGUCUCCCGCACUGAAGCGGGUGCAUCUGAGCAAUCCACAUCGGUGAAAUUGACAUCAGUGCAUUUGUGGAAGGAGAUUUUCUCAACUUCCGUACCCCAUUUGAGCUGACCAGAGGCCAAACAGAGUGACGCCCCAGCCUGACCUAACAAAUCGAGACCGAUUAUCCCAUCGAAGGUUGACAAGUCUGGUAAAAUGAAAAAUGUUGCUUUCACGUUGAACAACGCAACAAAGCAUUUUUGUGUGACGGUGGUUGAGCCAUGGAUGGAAUGCAAGGUGAAUUGCGAGUUAACCCCUUGUGUGGUCUGAUGUAAUUCUUGGACGUGCCGGUGUCAAUAAGGAAGCUCAUAUCCUGGCCUGCUACUCUUCGUCUAAUGACGGGUAGCAGGGAUUUUCCCCUAAAAAAUUGAGGGCGUCAGAAUCACUUUCGGCAUCGUCCUCGAUCUGCGCGACAGCGCCGUUGGCGGCUUCGGCGUACGAUGUCUGCCCCUGCCCAGCAUCUUGGGUUACAUGAUUCACCCUUUGUUGCUUGCCCUUUCCGUUAGAGCGAUCGGACAUGGCCGACAGCUUGCUGACGCCAGCGGAGGCAUGGGUGGGCUGUCUAAAUUUUGACAGCGAAGGGUCUACCUCCAUUGGUUCUGGAGCACUGGCGCGAGUUUGCUGCUCGGCAUUUCGCUGGCCGGAUUGGCCUUUCUGCUUGUUCUGCCUACUAAAAUGUGGGUUCUUUGACCCGCUUGCCUGUGCUUCUUGUUGGGGUGGCUUGACCCGCUGUUGGGUACUUGCCUUGUGUUCUUUUUCCUCAAUGCUUCUCGCGAAGUUGGCAGCGAACGCAUAUCUUUCAUGGUUCGAUUCCACCUCUUCCGCGAGCGCCAGAGCUGACGGCAAGUCCUUUGGCUUUGCUGAGAACAGCACAUCUGUGAGACUACGCUUGAGUCCCGAAACAAACACACGUAGUGCAUAUUCGCGGAACUUUUCGCAGAGGCCCUUUGCUAGGACCGGCUCGUAUGACAUGUUGACUUUAUUAGUCAACAAUGUAAGCUUUUUGCCGACUUCAUCAUAGUAUUGCAGCAGAGACAUGUUGCCUUGUCUCAGCGUGGCCAGCUCUUGCUCGACUACGUGAACUGGACGUUUGUCGCUGUACGUGAAGUCGAGGCGACUUAUAAUCGCGUCAAAGUUAAGAACUGUGCCGAAAGAGGCUAGAACAACGUCCGCGGCCCCCCCUGAUUUUGUUUCUUAUAAUUAUGACCGCCUGAUAAUGGCGUGAACUGCCGUCGUACGGUCUAAAAAUACGAUAGGCUGCGAGAGCCGCCUGUCUCUAUGAAACAUACGAUUCAUGUGCGCCUGCAAACUCGGGCAAGCAUUUGACGGCAUCUAAUGGCUCGUCGCAGCGGAUGUCAUUUCUUAUCUCUAUGGGUGCAUAAGCUUGCACCUCUGGUGGCGUAAUAUGCGCUGCGGCCAGCUGCUGGGACAUUGAGUUGACUUUGUCAAGCAAGACCUUAUUUGCGGCGGCUUGCUCAGCUAAGCCAGCGGUGACGGCUGCCUGUAUUACGAAUUUCAACUGGUGUGGGUCUUGGCACCGAACAGCGAAUGCGAUGGUCGUCGCAAUCAGAGUCAGGAUCACUACACUUUCGGCGAGUGGUUCUAUAGAAAAGGAAGGGUGAAGUCAUAUGCCUCUAAUGUAAACAACGAAAACUCGAACACAACGCUUGAGGACGGAGGCAACAAAGUUGCAAAAUUCCACGGUUCGUAUUACGUUGAACGACCAAACAAAACGAACAAGAUGAAGGCAGAUGUUAAAACUAUUUAUUAUUUUAUUUCAUUUAAGAAAGUCAAAUAAUAAUUCGAUCGCCGACGUGUGAAGACGUUUUUAUCGUGCUCCGCACAAAAUCGGUUGUUUUGAGUGAAGUGAACGCCAAAUAAAAUAAACUAAAUAAAAAAUCUGAAAGCGAAAGA